GAUGAACGCUGGCGGCGUGCCUAAUACAUGCAAGUCGAGCGAACGGACGAGAAGCUUGCUUCUCUGAUGUUAGCGGCGGACGGGUGAGUAACACGUGGAUAACCUACCUAUAAGACUGGGAUAACUUCGGGAAACCGGAGCUACUACCGGAUAAUAUUUUGAACCGCAUGGUUCAAAAGUGAAAGACGGUCUUGCUGUCACUUAUAGAUGGAUCCGCGCUGCAUUAGCUAGUUGGUAAGGUAACGGCUUACCAAGGCAACGAUGCAUAGCCGACCUGAGAGGGUGAUCGGCCACACUGGAACUGAGACACGGUCCAGACUCCUACGGGAGGCAGCAGUAGGGAAUCUUCCGCAAUGGGCGAAAGCCUGACGGAGCAACGCCGCGUGAGUGAUGAAGGUCUUCGGAUCGUAAAACUCUGUUAUUAGGGAAGAACAUAUGUGUAAGUAACUGUGCACAUCCUGACGGUACCUAAUCAGAAAGCCACGGCUAACUACGUG
rnacentral:rRNA from 1 species